rnacentral:snRNA from 1 species
GAUUAUGCAGGCAAUCUGGCUGUGACAUCUGGCCCCAUUGAUCGCCAGGGUUUAUUGGGCUGAUCUGGCUGGCUGGGCGGGUGUCUUCUUCCUCCCUCACUGCUCCCUGUGUGUCCCUCCUGAAACUGCAUGCUUCAAAGAGGACAACCACCCGAUACAGGAAGACCGGUUCCUUGGUCAAGGGUGUACAAGCAGUUGCGCUCCCCUGCUAGAACCUCCAAACAAGCUCUCAUUCCCAUUCCCUUAAUAUAAAUAUCAUAUAAAAUAAUAUAUGCAUGCAUACAUUACAUGCAAUAAGCACAAUAAGCUUAAUCAGUAAUAGUU